CCUUGCCAGCCCGCUCAGAAACUCAAAGGAAUUGACGGGGGCCCGCACAAGCGGUGGAGCAUGUGGUUAAUUCGAUGAUACGCGAGGAACCUUACCUGGGCUCAAAUGUAUGUUGACGUAUUCUGAAAGGGAUACUUCUUCGGACAAUAUACAAGGUGCUGCAUGGUUGUCGUCAGCUCGUGCCGUGAGGUGUCGGGUUAAGUCCCAUAACGAGCGCAACCCCUAUCAUUAGUUGCCAUCAGGUCAAGCUGGGGACUCUAAUGAAACUGCCUACGCAAGUAGUGAGGAAGGUGGGGAUGACGUCAAAUCAGCACGGCCCUUACGUCCAGGGCUACACACGUGCUACAAUGGCCGGUACAAAGGGCAGCUACCUGGUGACAGGAUGCUAAUCUCAAAAGCCGGUCUCAGUUCGGAUCGGAGUCUGCAACCCGACUCCGUGAAGCUGGAAUCGCUAGUAAUCGUGAAUCAGAAUGUCACGGUGAAUACGUUCCCGGGCCUU
rnacentral:rRNA from 1 species